rnacentral:rRNA from 1 species
ACGGAAGGCAGCAGUAGGGAAUCUUCGGCAAUGGGGGCAACCCUGACCGAGCAAUGCCGCGUGAGUGAAGAAGGUUUUCGGAUCGUAAAGCUCUGUUGUAAGAGAAGAACGUGUGUGAGAGUGGAAAGUUCACACAGUGACGGUAACUUACCAGAAAGGGACGGCUAACUACGUGCCAGCAGCCGCGGUAAUACGUAGGUCCCGAGCGUUGUCCGGAUUUAUUGGGCGUAAGGGGAGCGCAGGCGGUUUAAUAAGUCUGAAGUAAAAGGCAGUGGCUUAACCAUUGUUCGCUUUGGAAACUGUUAGACUUGAGUGCAGAAGGGGAGAGUGGAAUUCCAUGUGUAGCGGUGAAAUGCGUAGAUAUAUGGAGGAACACCGGUGGCGAAAGCGGCUAUCUGGUCUGUAACUGACGCUGAGGCUCGAGAGCGUGGGGAGCAAACAGGAUUAGAUACCCUGGUA